rnacentral:tRNA from 1 species
CAGAGAAUAGUUUAUAUAAAAUAUUAGUUUUGGGAAUUAAAGAAAGGAGUAAGUCUUUUCUCUGA